rnacentral:rRNA from 1 species
AGUGAACGCUGGCGGUAGGCCUAACACAUGCAAGUCGAACGGCAGCACAGUAAGAGCUUGCUCUUACGGGUGGCGAGUGGCGGACGGGUGAGGAAUACAUCGGAAUCUACUUUUUCGUGGGGGAUAACGUAGGGAAACUUACGCUAAUACCGCAUACGACCUACGGGUGAAAGCAGGGGAUCUUCUGACCUUGCGCGAUUGAAUGAGCCGAUGUCGGAUUAGCUAGUUGGCGGGGUAAAGGCCCACCAAGGCGACGAUCCGUAGCUGGUCUGAGAGGAUGGUUCGCCACCAUGGAACUUAGACAGCGUCCCGACUACUGAGGGAGGGCGCAGUUGGGAACAUUAGGCAAUGGGGGGGAGUCUGACACAGGCAUCGCGAGUGGGUGAAGAAGGCCUUCGGGUUGUAAAGCCCUUUUGUUGGGAAAGAAAAGCAGCAGGUUAAUACCCCGCUGUUCUGACGGUACCCAAAGAAUAAGCACCGGCUAACUUCGUG